GAUGAACGCUGGCGGCGUGCUUAACACAUGCAAGUCGAACGGAAAGGCUCCUGCUUGCCGGGGUACUCGAGUGGCGAACGGGUGAGUAACACGUGGGUGAUCUGCCCUGCACUUCGGGAUAAGCCUGGGAAACUGGGUCUAAUACCGGAUAGGACGAUGGUUUGGAUGCCAUUGUGGAAAGUUUUUCGGUGUGGGAUGAGCUCGCGGCCUAUCAGCUUGUUGGUGGGGUAAUGGCCUACCAAGGCGUCGACGGGUAGCCGGCCUGAGAGGGUGUACGGCCACACUGGGACUGAGAGGCGGCCCAGACUCCUACGGGAGGCAGCAGGGGGGAAGAUUGCACAAGGGGCGCAAGCCUGAUGCAGCGACGCCGCGUGGGGGAUGACGGCCUUCGGGUUGUAAACUCCUUUCGCUAGGGACGAAGCGUUUUGUGACGGUACCUGGAGAAGAAGCACCGGCUAACUACGUG
rnacentral:rRNA from 1 species